ACGAACGCUGGCGGCGCGCUUAACACAUGCAAGUCGAACGGGGUCCUUCGGGGCCCAGUGGCGAAUGGGUGCGUAACACGUGAGCAACCUGCCCAUGCAUGGGGGAUAACCCGGGGAAACCCGGGCUAAUACCGCAUACGUUCUCGCUUCCGCAUGAAGGCGAGAGGAAAGCCUCUGCAAGGGGGCGUGCGUGGAGGGGCUCGCGGCGUAUCAGGUAGAUGGCGGGGGUAACGGCCCACCAUGCCGACGACGCGUAGCCGAUCUGAGAGGAUGAUCGGCCACAUUGGGACUGAGAUACGGCCCAGACUCCUACGGGAGGCAGCAGUGGGGAAUCUUGCGCAAUGGGCGAAAGCCUGACGCAGCGACGCCGCGUGCGGGAGGAAGCUCUUCGGGGUGUAAACCGCUGUCAGGGGGGAAGAAAUGCGCGGGGAGGAAAUGCCUCGCGCUUGACGGUACCUCCAGAGGAAGCACCGGCUAACUCUGUGCCAGCAGCCGCGGUAAUACAGAGGGUGCGAGCGUUGUUCGGAAUUACUGGGCGUAAAGCGCGCGCAGGCGGCCCUUUAAGUCUGCCGGUCAAACGCCGGGGCUCAACCCCGUGCUCGCCGGAGAUACUGGAGGGCUGGAGACACGUAGAGGCAAGCGGAAUUCCGGGUGUAGCGGUGGAAUGCGUAGAGAUCCGGAAGAACACCGGAGGCGAAGGCGGCUUGCUGGGCGUGAUCUGACGCUGAGGCGCGAAAGCGUGGGGAGCGAACAGGAUUAGAUACCCCGGUAGUCCUGGCCUUAAACGAUGGAUGCUUGGUGUCUGGAGUUUUAUAGUCUCCGGGUGCCGCAGCUAACGCGUUAAGCAUCCCGCCUGGGGAGUACGGUCGCAAGACUGAAACUCAAAGGAAUUGACGGGGACCCGCACAAGCGGUGGAGCAUGUGGUUCAAUUCGACGCAACGCGAAGAACCUUACCUGGGCUAGAAUGCCUGUGACACCCGUAGAGAUACGGUCUCCUAGGGAAACCUAGGCACAGUGCAAGGUGCUGCAUGGCUGUCGUCAGCUCGUGUCGUGAGAUGUUGGGUUAAGUCCCGCAACGAGCGCAACCCCUGCCUUUAGUUGCCACCAGGUUAAGCUGAGCACUCUAGAGGGACUGCCGGUGAAAAACCGGAGGAAGGUGGGGAUGACGUCAAGUCCUCAUGGCCUUUAUGUCCAGGGCUACACACGUACUACAAUGGACGGCACAAUGAGUUGCAAACUCGCGAGAGGGAGCCAAUCUCAAAAAACCGUUCUCAGUUCGGAUUGCAGUCUGCAACUCGACUGCAUGAAGCUGGAAUCGCUAGUAAUCGCUGAUCAGCAAGCAGCGGUGAAUACGUUCCCGGGCCUUGUACACACCGCCCGUCACAUCACGAAAGCCCGUUGUACUAGAAGCCGGUGAUUCGACCGCAAGGAGAUAGCCGUCCAAGGUAUGACUGGUGAUUGGGGUG
rnacentral:rRNA from 1 species